rnacentral:rRNA from 1 species
CCUACGGGUGGCAGCAGUGAGGAAUAUUGGUCAAUGGGCGGGAGCCUGAACCAGCCAAGUCGCGUGAGGGAAGACGGUCCUAUGGAUUGUAAACCUCUUUAGGCGGGGAGCAAUGCCGGGCACGCGUGCCCGGAGGGAGAGUACCCGCAGAAUAAGCAUCGGCUAACUCCGUGCCAGCACCCGCGGUAAUACGGGGGAUGCGAGGGUUAUCCGGAUUUUUUGGGUUUAAAGGGUGCGUAGGCGGAUUUUAAAGUCAGCGGUAAAAUGUCCGGGCUCAACCCGGGCCGGCCGUUGAAACUGGGGAUCUUGAGUGGGCGAGAGGUAUGCGGAAUGCGUGGUGUAGCGGUGAAAUGCAUAGAUAUCACGCAGAACUCCGAUUGCGAAGGCAGCAUACCGGCGCCCGACUGACGCUGAGGCACGAAAGCGUGGGGAUCGAACAGGAUUAGAUACCCCUGUAGUC